AAGAGAGAAGGGAGCCGUGGCGCGGCCUGCUCAGACACAGGAAUCCGAAUGUGGCUUUUGAUUUUGACCACUGGGAAGAGUGUGAAGAGGACAGCCACUUCUCCAAGGCUGUGACUUCUAAGAGGCUGCCCUGCAAAGUGGCAGAGGUGGUCGGACCCAGCAGCAGCGCUUCGGAGGCUGACGGGAGUGAGAGUGAGUGAGACUGAAGUCCCGCCGGCAGCCCGAGACUUGGAACAACCAUGGCUGUGGCCGUGUGUUGGAAGUUAAGAAAACAAGUGAUGCUACCCAAACCGUCUUUCACCUCAAGGAGGAAUUAUUGCCAAGGGUCAUCUUAUGCUUCAGGAUUGGUAAUGGUGACAGAUUUCCUGGUCAAUUAAAAACAGGCUGAUAAGACCAGCAUUGUGGCGCAGCAGGUUGGGCCUCCGCCUGCGACACUGACGUCCCAUAUGAAUGCUGGUUCCAAUCCUGGCUGUUCUACUUCUAAUCCAGCUCCCUGCUAAUGCUCCUGGAAGGCAGCAAAGUACCGUGGGUACUUGGGCCCCUGCCACCCACGUGGGAUGGAGUCCUGGGCUCUUGGUUUCCAUCUGGCCCAUCCCUGGCUGUUGUGGCCAUUUGUGGAAUGAACCAGCAGAUGGAAGAUACUCUCUCCUCUCUCUUUCUCUCUCUCUUUCCCUCUCUUUCUGCCCCAGGGCUGUCACUCUGCCUUUCAAAUAAAUUUUAAACCGUGGUUGCUAUGAGACGGUUGUCAGGAGGGUG